AGACUGAGGGGAGACCUUAUCACUCUCUACAACAAGCUGAAAGGAGGUUGCAGUGAGGUGGAAGUUGGUCUCCUCCCAGAUAACAAGUGAUAAGGCAAGAGAAAAUAGUCUCAAGUUGCACCAGGGGAGGUUUAGAUUAGAUAUCAGGAAAAUUUUCUACACUGAAAGGGUAGUUAAGCAUUGUAGUAGGCUGCCCAGGAAAGUGGUUGAGUUAUUACCCCUGGAAGAAUUUAAAAGGACAUAAGGACAUGGUUUAGUGGUGAAUGUGGCAGUGGUAGAUUUAUGGUUGGACUUGAUGAUCUUAGAAGGCUUUUCCAACCUAAACAAUUCUAUGGUUCUACUUAAAGAAAUACGUAAAUAGGAAGUCAAGCAAAAAAAUCUCCUACUGGGCUCCUAUUAUGUGAUAGCAGAUGCAUGUGAGACUCUUGUCCCCAUCUGCCUGUUUCAUCUUAGAUAAGAAAACAUUAUAUUAAUUGUGACUAUCAUAUUAAUUACAUCUGAUUGUUUAGGACAUGAGUUACUGAAUGCAUCUCUCUCAGUGCAGGUACCACAGUUUUCAAUGUGAUGAACUAUAGCAAUCAUGGAAAACUAGAUAAUUUAUUUAUAAUUUACACUGAAAGAGUGAAAUUUAGUUUUUAGGGAAAAUAUGUAGAUCUUUCAGUCAUUAAGGAAAUUACAGUCACUCUUGUUGUAGUAAUUUCUCUUUUAUAAAAAUGUUGCUUAAGGAAGAAAAACUUCUUGACUCUAAUCGAUUUCUACUAUAUUUUAUUCUUUUACACCUGUCAUCUUAUCUACGUGUCUCUCAGAUUUAAGACUACAGAAAUGACUGUUGCUGAAGGUGAUAUUUGUGAUGAGCUAGGGAUUAUAUUGGAACUUUUGAACUCAUUUAGGCAUUAUGACAUUCUAUGGCAGAUUAAUUAAAAUAAUUCACAGCUACUUCAGCCUGGGACAGAGAAAGGGAAACAAGCCUCAGAUGUGAAAUGCACUCAUCAGGUUCACUAUCUGCUUGAUUACUCUUGCAUCCAUCACAUUUGUUCUGCGGUGAGUCAUCAAUAUUUUGGCCAUGCAAAAAAUGGCAGAUGAACACUCCUGUGGUGAAAAGGCAAGUCUUUUCCCACUGGUGACACCAAUAAGCUUUAUGCGUGCCUCCAGAAGUGAAGUGAACAAUGGAAAAUACUUCCCUUUUUCAAAUACUUUAUCAAAAGUUCUGUGUGAUUCACCUCCAUGAUCUUUUUGAGCCUCUGCUCAGUGAGGAAGCCAAAAGCUUGACUCUCUGUCUUCAUCCCACACUCUCAUGGCACACUGCUUCAGCCCGUCUACAAGGUUGACCAUAAACUACUUGAGGUGAUGACAGGCUUUUAUUUCUCUGGAUGUUUAAAAUUCACCACAGAAGGUAAGAAGUCAUUUAGCUAUCAUUCUUUGCUUUAUUUUUUCCCUCGUAAAUGCCCAAAUUAAAGAGCUUUCCUCACCAACAAUUAGCAAUCUUUUUAGCUUAGCCUGCCAACAGCUCCAGGGGUGUUUGUUUGCUUUUUUGUUUUUUUAGGGAGGGGCAUUCUUUUGUGAACAAUGAAAAAUUAAAAACUCAUCUAAUAAAGUUGAUUUCAACUGUCUUGAUGUUAGGAAAUGAAUGUUUUCUCUGGUGUCAUAUGGCUCUGCUGAGAUUUCAAUUGAUCUUUGUGCUCGUUUUCUCAUUUUCCAGCUGAAAUUCAUCUAGGGCUUAGACAUGGUGUUACUGUGUUUACCUUCAAUGCCUCCCAUUGUUCUUCCAGGGAUCUGUGAUGACAUGUCUUCAUCUUUUCAUUCCUAGUUUACUUUGUCAUACUGCCAGAAUUAAAAUGUGUGUUAUGUGCAUUUCAGAUCCUUGAAUGUGAUAACAACAUUCAGGCCUAAGAAGGGUACUGAGAUGUCAAAACUGAGAUGUGAUACCUUACGUCUGCAGUCUUUGAUUCAUGGGACUAUACAGGAAAGUUUCUCAAAAAGAAAAAAAAGAUUGUUUUACAAACACAAAUGUUGUCUGAGGAUGCCAGGCUUGUCAGCCUAGGAUACAUUUAAUUGAAUUCAGCAGAGAGAGAUCCAUAGUGUGGGAUCUGUAUUUGCCCUGUGUGGUAACUUGUGCAAUUUCCAUGAAGUAGUAAGCUCAAGAGCUGAAUUCAGUUCUGAGGCUACAGUGAACUUCAUAGCUCCUUGAAACAGCAUUUUCUCUACUUUACAUUCUGAUUCUAUUUCUUUUAGUAAGUCUAAUUCAUGUUUUACAUAUCCAUAGUACUGUUAAAAUGUGAAUCAUUCUAAGGAACUCUUUAUGACAGCCUGGCUAUAGAGUCUGAAAAAGGGGUGGGAGGGAAGAGACUGUACUAAAAAAGAUCAUAGAACACUGUGCUAGAAACUGCAGUACAAUUCAGCUGUUCCCAGAUGCUUGCUAGAGAUGUUAGCCCACAUUUAUGUUUUGAGAAAAGGAAACUAAUAGGGUUUUUGUAUUCUAGCUCAGAGUACUCCAAAGUCCUUACAAAGCCUUAUGGCCUUUUCUGAUUUUUUCACUGGUAUUUUAAUUCUCCAUUUUAAAAUUAAGGUGAAAUAGGGGAAAAAUUGUUUUUUACUGUGACAGCACCUAAAGUCUGUAGUCAAAAUCAUGUCUCUAUUGGCUAAAUGCAGAACAAAUACAUAACCACAAAUCCUCUGUGUCACUAAAAGGUGGUGAUUUCACUUAAUAUGCCAGACUCUAAGUAAGUAUAGCAGAUAUAGGAACACAUAUUGGUCAUACUAAUUAGGUGUUCAUGCCUCUUGGCACUAAUAUGUUAUUGCAUGAUUCUAACAUGUUGUGGAAAAAACCAUGUUUGGGAUGAUAUGGGUUCUUCCAUUAUGAGGAGAAGUUCCUGGUAGGUAUUUAUUUUUUGCCUUGCUUAUUUACAGAAAAAGUCUUUUUUCAGUGAGCAUAGUCAGGCAACAACAACAGGCAAUUUAUUUGCAGAAUCACCUCCAAAUCUUUGCGUGCUCCGUGCUCUCCUUCCAUGACACGCUUACCUCAGAAUUGCUGAGACACUUGGUUCCUUCUCCAGGUAUGUGUAAAAGAAACAUGGCAUGAUGAGGACUUCUGCCUUUGGUCUCUGUCAGCUGUGGUGUUUUGUAAGAACUAUUGUUCAGCCAUUUAAAUCCAGAAUGGACUUACUUGCUCCUUACCUCUAUCCCCAGUGACACGAAGCUAUUUAUUCAAGCUGUGUAAUUAGCUAAGCUGUGUUACUAGGUGAACAUAUUAGUGAAGGAAUAUAUUGCUUACCCUAGGUGUGGAAAUAUUUUAAAGUUUCAACUCUUAAAUAUUUUUAAUCUUCAAAAUGACCUUUUUCUUCUUAAUCACAUUAUGGAUAUUUUACACACUGUGAUAUUUUUCUCCCAGAGUGUGACUGGAUUGCUCUUUUAGCCCUGAUUCAGCAAAGCACUGAGGUAUUUCCUGCUUUAAAAAUCAGCAAAACACUAAUAUAUUUCCUGCUUUAAAAAAAGAUUAAAGGUCUUAGAAUAAUCCUUGGAAAUUCUGCCCCAGUUUAUUGAGAAUUUUAUUUAAAAAUUCAAAGACAGACUGUUAUUCUUCAGACUGUAUCAUAUCCUAAACAAUUCUAAUGAAAGAAUAUAAAAUUUUUCUUCUAGCUUAUUUUCUUUUGUUUUCUAUGGGAAGGCUCAUAAGGCUGUGAUGGCUUAUUUAUUUGAAUUAUAUUGUUUAUUUGUGAAAGACAGUAAGACUCUUACAUCACAAGACAUUCUCCCCUAAGUUUAAUACACAAAACCACGUGAGUGAUAUUGAAGAAAUGCUUGUCCCUGUUAAUUAUUUUAUUUCUCUGAAUGACAAAAUGAAGAUGCUGGAAAUCCAAAUCUCAAAAAGGAAGUUAAUUGUCUCAUGAUUUUGCUGACACUGCUUUUGAGCUUUUGAGAAACAUUUUUUUCCAUUAUGUUAGUCACUGGAGAAGUUAUGUUCUGUAAAACAGUUUCCUUAUAGAAUUGAUGCCACCCUUGAUCACAGUGCUCCCUGUUGAAAAGUGCAUCACAGUAUUUCAUAAAGAAAAUUAUUGUAUCAUAAGUUUUAACAUUGCCACUAUAAUUGGCAAACACUGAUUGGUUUCUAGAUCAGCUGUAUGAUUCCCUGUAGAAAAGAUUCCACUUUAGGGUAACAUUUAAUUGAUGAGCAUCUGGCAAAUAAGUUCAAGAAAUGCAUGUGUACAGAAGUAAGCUUGAAGGGAUUGUCAUUUGCUGUUCCCAGAUUGCCCUUUCUAUCAGAGGACUACUGUACGUCAGAUUUGAAUAGGAAAACUCCAUUUAGGAGCUUGUCCUUGCAACCUUGAUAGAAAAGCAUCAUGAUCAGGCACUGGAAUGGCAUCACAAAUGUUACAGCAGCAUGACGGGGAUCAAGAGCUAUAUAAUAAGGAGGUUUCACACAGCUUAAGAAGCACAGGUGAUAGAGAAAUACAACUAGAUAAAGUGUUCUUCAUUCAGCCACAACUCCUACACUUCAGUAGAAUUAGUUCAUACUUGACUCUGUUUUAAAUGAGAAUCUUCCAGUUCUGUUUAACAAAUGAAUGUAUAAAAUGAUUCUAUAAUUCUUUUAUUUUGGAUUACAUGCUCCUGGCAUAACAGCAAAGUGAGCAGACUUGAAACUUCUGAAGACAAAAUAAGCACUGAAACAAUAUUGUCAUGAUCCUUUCCUUCACAAAGCCACAAAUGAGACAUUUGGGAACGGAAAACUGUUUUGAGGGAACAUUAAAUUGGCCAAGAACAAAUUGCUACAGAAAAUGACAUCCUCUUCUGAACAUCCAUUAGUUUCUGAUAAUCAGGAAUGCUCGGAUGCUUGAACAUUCCAUUAGUACGAAGCAGCGAGUUAAUUGUAAUAAUUAUCAGCAGUUUUAAUUGUUUUGUUAUAAUGUAUUUUGCAGUUUGUUUGACAGCGUGAAAUCAAUAUGCACCUCUAGGAAAAAUAUCUAGUAUAAUAAAAUUAUGCUCCAUUAUGCCUCCCAACCUCAGAAUUAAACUUUGUACAUAAAUGUGUAUUUCUGUUUGUGUGUGCAGAAGAAUUAUACUGAAUGAGUAGAGAUGCGUAAAUAAAUUGGAAUCUGUUGUUAAAGUGGAAGAUGGAGUCUCCUCUUAAAAAUUGUUUCUGUCUUUCAAACCUUUAAUUUUCAGGUAAGAAAUCAGAAAACCGUUGCUACCUCUCUUUGACUUUUUGUAUUAUUCUUUUAUAUUAAAAAAUACUUUACAGAGAUUUUAGUAGUAAUUUCUAGAAUGCCUGUACUGAUGUCAUGUUAACAAAAAUGUGGUGAUGUACGUGAAUGUUAAUUGUAAUGAUGAUUUCCAGAUGGAGAUCCCAAAGCACAAAACUUGGAGUGAAGCAGAAAAAAGCCACAAAAAUGAUUUAAGGACUGUGGAGAGGUAUACUUCAAUGAGAUAUUCUGACAAUUUUAUAUGGCAAAAGGAAGAUAUACAAACAAUUUGAUUACAGUGCUUAAAUAUUGUUUUGUGAGAACACCCUGCAUACUCAAGGGCUUUUUACUCUCAUGGAAAAAAAAAUAAAAGAACUGUAGUCAUCACAAGAACCAAUAGCAAGAUGCUGCAGUUAGAAAAAAAACCAGCCUGGAAAUAAAAUUUUAGUUUUAGCAGUGAUUUUAAUGGAUGAUCAACUGGUAGAUUAAACUUCCAAAAGAAGUGAGAGAUUCUACAUUUCUGUGUUUCUCCAGAUACCUUUAGAAAAAUAUUUAUUUUAGUCAAAUAUAAGUUAUUGAGUUUUGUAAGGUAUAAAUAGGAUGAAGUGUAGUGGUCUAAGUUAUAAUGUUUUGUGAUAUAUGAGGUGUCAGACAAAAUAAUACAAUGGUUCCUCCUGGUCUUAUGCUGUGAUCCAAUUAAAAGAGGUUAUUACUUACUCAUUUUGUGUGCAGCCUUCACAUUGAAGUCUCUUGACAAGAGAUGUAAGUACCUGUAACUGUCUUGGGAGUGUUAAAAACUUCAUUAUUGUUUGUUCUUUUUUUAUUUGCCUGUGGAAAAAGACAGAAGAUGCUGUGAGUCCUGGAGAGACUUGAGAGGAUCAGAAGCUGAGCUGGAUCCCAGAAAAAGACAGGCAGUCAUCAUUCAUCCCUCUAUGAAGACAAAAGUUGGGGAAGAGAAGAAAUUAGUGAGGAAAAAGAUGACAGAUGGGAUGGAGGUGGGGAGCAGCGAGACCAACCCGAAAAGAUUUGUGAUUACUACACUAGGAAACACAUAAAAUUUUGGAGCUAAUUUCCUACAGUCUCAUUUACAUAUGAAACCUGAGGUGUUGCUGCUUUCCUCUGAUAGGGAAAAACCACACUGAGAUGCCACAUUGUUUGGAGAAAAUGGCAAAAAUGCCUUCAGAAGGAUGCUUGGGAGGACGAAAGCUAUGUAAAUGACACAUCAGCAGUUGUAUUUGGAGACUGGCUAAGCCUCACGCAUGCAAGAUGCACACUAACAGAUAUGAAAGGAAAAAAGGAAGGUCUUUGUAGGAAUAUCCUGUGCUGGUGCCAUGCGAUGGCAGAACUGCUGCAGACUAGAAAGGAUCUUCAAUGUGUUUUAUUUCAUGGUUAACAAGAACAGAUGAGUUUUUUUCCCAUUCCUAAGAAAUAGACUACUACUUCAAAACCUUUCUCUACAACUACAUGAGAGCAGAGCGCAACUUCUUCGGUGUAGACCCAAUGAACCAGUGUAGCUCACUGAGGAGCAAGAACAAGCACCACAGGAGUAUAACAGUCUCACCAGGUUGCAGUAUAUCCAUUUAUUUUUAGAGUUCUGUGGCACAGCUGGAGCUGACAACUCCAGGAAUAGUAGUUCUGUCCAAGAAACCUAGUGAGAGUUGUGUUCAAACCCAUGCCCUGAAAGACAUUAAUAAUAAAAAAUAGAGCAAUGUAUGAAAGAUAUUAUUUAAAGGAUACUUUCAAGAUGGCCUGUGUUCUGUCAGACUGGAUGUAGAGGAAAAUGUCUGAGACAAAUUUCACUAACAAGGCAUAGGGUAUUCAGAAUGUCAUGCGGAUAAUAUCCAAACCACUAUUUCCAAGGGCGGCUUAAGUGAGAGAAAAACAAAAUGCAGAUGUGUCUUUCCAAUUUCUUUUUGCUGUAUUAAGUGUCCCUGUGGUAUUUCUAAGUGCAUUUUCUGCAUAUUUUUGCAUUAAAAAUAUUAGGUUAUCACAUCCUUGUGUAUGCUUAAAGAUGAACAAUUUAGGAGGCUUCACAGGAGAUUGAAGUCUUUGUGUAAACUCUUAAUAAAUCGUCUGGGAGGGAAAAAGAAACCUUUCCAAGUGAAAGAAAAAGAUCUUUAUUCUUUCAUAAAAGGGAGAGGUGGUUCUCAGUCUUCUUACCUAGGAGAUCUUAAAUAAAACUGAAGCUGCUAUAUCUCAAAGCUAAAAAGAUCACUCCAAUCGCUUCUCUAAUUUAGAAAGCUACAGCUUUUUGCUGAACCUUCACAACCAGGCACAAAUUUCCUUUCCCCAAUUUUACCUCUCUUGCAAUUCUCCUUUUUUAACUUUUUCCCUUACACCACUAAUAAGAAUUCUACCAAUACUCUAUAGAACAGAAUUUGAAAGCUGCAAUAAACCUUACUUACUUGUGAAUAAACCAUAACAGAGAUGUUCUAAUUCAAAACACAGGCUAAUUCUCCUUAGCAUGACAUUAAAUCCUGCUCUGUAAAAUCUGCUUCAGGAAUGUUGUUAGAAAAUAAAAAGGUUUUUCUACAGGUUAUGCCUGUUGGAUGCGGUUCUCUCAUACACAGUAGUUAAGAGGUGACCACUGUGAUAAUGCACUAAAAAAAUUGACAGAAUUGUAGCUUUCAAAGGACUUAUUUGUGGAAUAAAAGAAAUGUGUGAAAUUAGAAGAUUGAGACUACUGAUUGUAUAAUUUCUGACCAGUUUAGUUUCCUGAGGCAUCCAAAAACACUGAAAUAUUAUUCACUGCACAUGUGAAAUCGAUAUUUUCUCUUUCUAUUAUCUGGCAAGAAGCUGAAGAUAUAAGAUGAAAUAUAAGAUGAAAACUUUAAGUUUUAUCUGUUUAUUUAUUUAUUUAUCAAGGAAUAUACAUAUUAAAGACAGUUUAGAAAUUAACUUAACUUACUUUCCAGAUUAUAUUUUUCAAAAUAAUUUUGACUCAAACACCUGAAAUUCCCUUUCCUUUCAAACCAUGUAGACAUCUUUAAACACUUCAAACUUCAUAAACUACUAAGUUUUAUCACGAUAUAAUUAUAUUGUAAAAACAGUGUAUUUCUAAAGGAACAUUAAGUGCCUAAACGCUGUCUAAUUUGUGUUUUGGUGCUUCUCCUCUUCUUGUUUCGACACCAAGAUAGGAGGAUUAUGGGUGAAUAAAUGAGAAGUGGAAAUACACGAGAGAAGAUUUCAUUAUGGUGAAUUAAUCUCAAGAAUUAUAUUUUUCAGAUACACUAAUUAUAUAUGAAGUUCUUGCUAAAAGGUUAAGAAUAAGCUAUUAUUUCAUGUUUGUAAUGAGCUGCAACUGUUUUCUGACUGCAGCCUGUGCAUUCUGUACACACAUAAAAUGAAAAUAAGAGAAUUGUAAUGUAUUUUAAUGUACUUUAUUUGUCUCUAAUUGUUUUUCUUUUAUAGAGAUUUUUCUAGUUCAUUGCUGUUACUGUGAUGUUUUAUCAUCUCUCAAGAUUAAAAAAAAGUCUACUGCAGCAUUUGCUAUCAGUAUAGUCUCUUCUCCCACCUCGCCAGGAAAGAAUAUGAUAAAUAUUAUUCAU